AGCCCUUGGCUUCUAAAUCCCAUUCUCCACCGGGAGGAACCAGGCUGAUUCCUGGGCUGUGCAGAAAAGAUACAGGAGGAGCCUGGAGCAUCUUGCAGUACUGGGAAGCAAGGAAGGACUCAAGGAAUGACGGAGAGGACAGGAGCAGAGCUGGACAGCCCGUGACCCGCAGCGGAAGCAGGAGUGCCGGGGUCGCCCUGAGGGCUGUAAAGUAAGUCAGUGGGGAGCAGAGAAGCUUCUCCUCACGGUAGAAUGCGGCUGAUGGUGUGGAAGGAAUGAGGUUCCUGGGAAACCGCCGUGGGUGACUGUCGGGAGCAGGACUCAGCACCACUCUGUGCCUUCCUAGGGCCACGAGGACCUGAGCCCCGCGUGCGACGUCCUGGCCCGGAACCUGCGAGGGCGUCGGGGAAUGGCCCAGGCACGUCCCGGGCUGAUGGAGAUGAAAGAAAAUAAUGGCUCAUCAUGUGACCCGGGUCCUGCCUACAAAUGGGGACGAGGUGU
rnacentral:lncRNA from 10 species